ACGAGGUGGAGGUUAUGCCUUGCUCGUGGCUAAGUUUGGAUGGCAAGGUGUCUUUUUGGCCACCGUAUAAAGACACCAAGCGGACGAAAGUUGCAGUCAUCCAAAGCGCUAUGCCAGAUGAGACCUGGUAAGAGUUUUUUGUGGAGGUGGUGAAAACCUUUGGUGAGACAGACAAAAGUAGGAUGUACCACUUUUCUCCCCUUAGGCUUUAAAAGCUUUACUCACUUCAUUGUUGUCUUCAACAGCCAAUUAUGAUGCAGCGCGUAUGAACCUGAAAAAAGCCCAAACCAGGAGCACCUCUUGACAUGACAGUCAUGAUGUUUUUCUGUCCUGUAGAACGGGAUCAUGCACUCCUGCGUGCUGUGGAGGAGUUGAAGGCCUUGGUGAGGCAGAACAACCUCCUCCUCCAGGCCCUUACUAGGCAAAAAACUACAGCAGCAGCAGCAGCAGACACUCUAUCUGAGGAAUUUAAGUUCCCAAUGAACUGCGAGGAAGACCUUCAAAGGGUCGAGGAUCUUCUGAGGGAGAAAUCCCAGGAAAAGGCCCUGGCAGCACACCUUAGUGCGCUUGGGGGCUGCAAUCCUGGUGACGCGGUUCGAAGAAUCCUUCGCCACAUCCUCACCAACCACUUCGCGCUGAAAUUCAACUGGCUUGGCAGAGGAGGGAAGAAGCUGGCUUUUGCCUCCUACAAGGUGUGCAAUGCAGUAAGAGGUGCAUCGGCUAGCCAGAACAUUUCGGCCAGCGACUGCGAGGCAGUUAUUAAAAACUGGCUGAAGUGCAGCGGUGACCGGAGUGGAGGAAGAAAGAGGAGAGAAAGCAGAGUGCAUGAAGGUAUGCAUGAACAGCAAACCAUCAAAUACUGGAAAUGA
rnacentral:lncRNA from 1 species